GGGCGCAUAGCUCAGCGGGAGAGCACUGCCUUCACACGGCAGUGGUCGCAGGUUCGAUCCCUGCUGCGCCCACCA
rnacentral:tRNA from 1 species